rnacentral:sRNA from 1 species
CUUCGUCACCGUCUCU